rnacentral:rRNA from 1 species
GCUUAACACAUGCAAGUCGAACGAUGAUGCCCAGCUUGCUGGGCGGAUUAGUGGCGAACGGGUGAGUAAUACGUGAGUAACCUGCCCUUGACUCUGGGAUAAGCCUGGGAAACUGGGUCUAAUACUGGAUACUACCUCUUGCCGCAUGGUGGGUGGUGGAAAGGGUUUUACUGGUUUUGGAUGGGCUCACGGCCUAUCAGCUUGUUGGUGGGGUAAUGGCUCACCAAGGCGACGACGGGUAGCCGGCCUGAGAGGGUGACCGGCCACACUGGGACUGAGACACGGCCCAGACUCCUACGGGAGGCAGCAGUGGGGAAUAUUGCACAAUGGGCGGAAGCCUGAUGCAGCGACGCCGCGUGAGGGAUGACGGCCUUCGGGUUGUAAACCUCUUUCAGUAGGGAAGAAGCGAGAGUGACGGUACCUGCAGAAGAAGCGCCGGCUAACUACGUGCCAGCAGCCGCGGUAAUACGUAGGGCGCAAGCGUUGUCCGGAAUUAUUGGGCGUAAAGAGCUCGUAGGCGGUUUGUCGCGUCUGCUGUGAAAGCCCGGGGCUCAACCCCGGGUCUGCAGUGGGUACGGGCAGACUAGAGUGCAGUAGGGGAGACUGGAAUUCCUGGUGUAGCGGUGAAAUGCGCAGAUAUCAGGAGGAACACCGAUGGCGAAGGCAGGUCUCUGGGCUGUUACUGACGCUGAGGAGCGAAAGCAUGGGGAGCGAACAGGAUUAGAUACCCUGGUAGUCCAUGCCGUAAACGUUGGGCACUAGGUGUGGGGGACAUUCCACGUUUUCCGCGCCGUAGCUAACGCAUUAAGUGCCCCGCCUGGGGAGUACGGCCGCAAGGCUAAAACUCAAAGGAAUUGACGGGGGCCCGCACAAGCGGCGGAGCAUGCGGAUUAAUUCGAUGCAACGCGAAGAACCUUACCAAGGCUUGACAUUCACCGGACCGCCCCAGAGAUGGGGUUUCCCUUCGGGGCUGGUGGACAGGUGGUGCAUGGUUGUCGUCAGCUCGUGUCGUGAGAUGUGG